CCUACGGGAGGCAGCAGUAGGGAAUCUUCCGCAAUGGGCGAAAGCCUGACGGAGCAACGCCGCGUGAGUGAUGAAGGUCUUCGGAUCGUAAAACUCUGUUAUUAGGGAAGAACAAAUGUGUAAGUAACUAUGCACGUCUUGACGGUACCUAAUCAGAAAGCCACGGCUAACUACGUGCCAGCAGCCGCGGUAAUACGUAGGUGGCAAGCGUUAUCCGGAAUUAUUGGGCGUAAAGCGCGCGUAGGCGGUUUUUUUAAAGUCUGAUGUGAAAGCCCACGGCUCAACCGUGGAGGGUCAUUGGAAACUGGAAAACUUGAGUGCAGAAGAGGAAAGUGGAAUUCCAUGUGUAGCGGUGAAAUGCGCAGAGAUAUGGAGGAACACCAGUGGCGAAGGCGACUUUCUGGUCUGUAACUGACGCUGAUGUGCGAAAGCGUGGGGAUCAAACAGGAUUAGAUACCCUGGUAGUCCACGCCGUAAACCGAUGAGUGCUAAGUGUUAAGGGGGUUUUCCGCCCCUUAGUGCUGCAGCUAACGCAUUAAGCACUCCGCCUGGGGAGUACGACCGCAAGGUUGAAACUCAAAGGAAUUGACGG
rnacentral:rRNA from 1 species